rnacentral:rRNA from 1 species
GAUCCUGGCUCAGUAUGAACGCUGGCGGCGCGCCUAACACAUGCAAGUCGAACGGCACCUGCCCUCGGGCAGAAGCGAGUGGCGAACGGCUGAGUAACACGUGGAGAACCUGCCCCCUCCCCCGGGAUAGCCGCCCGAAAGGACGGGUAAUACCGGAUACCCCGUGGUGCCGCAUGGCACCCCGGCUAAAGCCCCGACGGGAGGGGAUGGCUCCGCGGCCCAUCAGGUAGACGGCGGGGUGACGGCCCACCGUGCCGACAACGGGUAG